rnacentral:lncRNA from 1 species
GCAACAAUCAACCAAAAUCUAUUACAUUCUACUCCAUACUAAUUUUACACAAAAAAAUCAGUUUGCUAGUGAACAGUCCAUAGAUUUAAACCACAACACAUUUUAGGUACAGCUAAAGAAAAACUUUUUCGAAUAAUGUUCAACAUGGUUUGAGCCUUUUCAUUUGUUGUGAACUCUUCAAUAAACUUCAUAUUGCAAAAAAACAGCUACAAAGUUGUCUUUGCAAGUCAGCAUUUGGUUCCAGCUCCCAAAUAGUUCUGAGGUUUUCCCCUUUUGUUACAACUCACACACAAUCAAAGAAAAAUGAAAGUCUCAAUACAAAGGAAAUCUAUUUAGCAUCACAUGACAACAAGAUAGUAAGCAAUAGAUGGUAUUAGCAAAAUGAUCAACUUAGCAUAACUCAUGAAGCAUGAUUCACACACAAAACAUGGCAAGAGUCAUUUUUUACAAGAAAAAUAAGUUGUCUGAAAUUUCAGAGGAGCACCAUUCACUGAACCAAAACAAAAAUGAACUUGAAACAAGUGUAGAAAGCUAUAAGCAGAAGCAACAACAUAUAUCUAAUCAAAACACCAUAUCUCAUUUAUGAAUCAUGAAAUAUUUUUAGAUAAAGGAACUACAUACAUAUAACAGCAAGAAUCAGAGUGAAACAAGAUGAAUCUCUAAUCAAAACUAUGAAGGAGACAACAGCAGGAACCAAACAGCACAGCCAAAAUCAACCUAGAACACCAAGAACAGCUGACUCGAAUUUCCAGAAUCAUAAAUAAACAACACUCGAAUGAACUAACUUAAGAACCCUAACCCAGAACUGAUUUUAGAAUAAGAAAAUUGUAGGAAGCUUUUUUUUCUGUAUAUUCAGAGAAUUUUAGGGUGAAAAUAGGUUGAUCCCUCUGUAUAGAAUGAAGGAAUAGCUUUCUUUUUAUAGGGGAUCCCCAAAAUAGCAUCAAAAGUGCAUAUUCUAACCUAAAUUCCCUAAGGGUCAGAUAGUACAUCAUCUUUUAACAGCUCUAAGUCCUUUUUCCCACCCAAUUUCAGUAUCUUUUGCUAAAAAUGGGGGCAGCUAUCCAAAAUACUAGAACCUUCUAAUAUUUACCCUAUGUAAAAUUCAGUUUUACUCUUUUAUUUACUGACUAUUCCAAUUCUAACCAAUUUUGAUUCUAUUCUAAUUUUAAAGACCUUUAGGGAACCUCCUAAGUAUUGUUUCAAGUGUUCUUUUAAUUCCAAAAUCAGUCUUAAGUUUAAGGGCAUUCAGGGUUUAAACCAAAAAAGUCUAAAUCUAAUUAGUAAAUUAAACAGGCUCGCAUAAUUAACCUAAAACAAACAGGAUUCAACUAGCUAACACCGCUAAAAGUAAACAAACCAGAAUUAUAAUGAAACUAUAAAGAAACCCUAGAAACUAACCUAUUCAGUUGGCAAGUUAAACAAUUUUAAUCAACUAAUUUUUCUAACAGCUAACCAAAAAUAGACUAAACAGCUCGUUAAUCAACUUGAGUAACAUUAUUCUAAUUAACAUUAUUCUAAUUAACUUGAACUAAACAUUGAGCAUAAAAUAAAAUGAACAUAAGACAAAAAUAUGAAAGAAACAGAAAAAUCAUGCUAUUUAUCAAACCCUAAUUAAACUAAGUUUAUGCAACUGAAAUUAAACUUCAGAUGGUGAAAUCUUAAUAUACUUUGAUUAAUCUAAUAAACAGAUGCCAAAUAAACAAACAAAAUAGUCGUGAACAAAAGAAAAGAAAAACCUAAAAUUGCAAACCUAAAACAUGUGGCUAAAAAGAAGAAAGAAGAUGAAAGGAAUAAUCAAACGAGGAAAGGAGAAAAGAAUGGCAAAGAAAUUACCAGAACUCGCUCCAAAUUCGGACCAGUCAAGGACUCGGACAAGCUUCAACGGGGUGAAAUGAACUUGGAUGACCAUUAAUCGACUAUUCUUAACAAGAACAGUCGACUAAUGGAAGUCUUAGGUUCAAACAAACCAGAAAUUGGCCAAAAAUCAAAAGGGAAACGUUUAGGUUUUUUGUGAAUCUUAGAUCUAAGAUUCGAGCGGUUUGAGAGAGAUUUGAGGGAAAUGGUUUGAGGAUUUAGAAAUGGGAGGAAAAGGUGGUUAUAGGGUGUUAAUUUGGUGGAGUUUGGAGGUGGUUCGUCGCCGUGAGGCAAUUUCCGGUAGGCGGACCACGGCGGAGGCGGCGUGGGUUAAAGGGGCGGCUAAGGUUUCUCGUUUGAGAGUGUUAGAGAUGGAAUGAGA